rnacentral:rRNA from 1 species
CUACUGGAAACGGUAGCUAAUACCGCAUAACGUCGCAAGACCAAAGAGGGGGACCUUCGGGCCUCUUGCCAUCGGAUGUGCCCAGAUGGGAUUAGCUAGUAGGUGGGGUAAAGGCUCACCUAGGCGACGAUCCCUAGCUGGUCUGAGAGGAUGACCAGCCACACUGGAACUGAGACACGGUCCAGACUCCUACGGGAGGCAGCAGUGGGGAAUAUUGCACAAUGGGCGCAAGCCUGAUGCAGCCAUGCCGCGUGUAUGAAGAAGGCCUUCGGGUUGUAAAGUACUUUCAGCGGGGAGGAAGGGAGUAAAGUUAAUACCUUUGCUCAUUGACGUUACCCGCAGAAGAAGCACCGGCUAACUCCGUGCCAGCAGCCGCGGUAAUACGGAGGGUGCAAGCGUUAAUCGGAAUUACUGGGCGUAAAGCGCACGCAGGCGGUUUGUUAAGUCAGAUGUGAAAUCCCCGGGCUCAACCUGGGAACUGCAUCUGAUACUGGCAAGCUUGAGUCUCGUAGAGGGGGGUAGAAUUCCAGGUGUAGCGGUGAAAUGCGUAGAGAUCUGGAGGAAUACCGGUGGCGAAGGCGGCCCCCUGGACGAAGACUGACGCUCAGGUGCGAAAGCGUGGGGAGCAAACAGGAUUAGAUACCCUGGUAGUCCACGCCGUAAACGAUGUCGACUUGGAGGUUGUGCCCUUGAGGCGUGGCUUCCGGAGCUAACGCGUUAAGUCGACCGCCUGGGGAGUACGGCCGCAAGGUUAAAACUCAAAUGAAUUGACGGGGGCCCGCACAAGCGGUGGAGCAUGUGGUUUAAUUCGAUGCAACGCGAAGAACCUUACCUGGUCUUGACAUCCACGGAAGUUUUCAGAGAUGAGAAUGUGCCUUCGGGAACCGUGAGACAGGUGCUGCAUGGCUGUCGUCAGCUCGUGUUGUGAAAUGUUGGGUUAAGUCCCGCAACGAGCGCAACCCUUAUCCUUUGUUGCCAGCGGUCCGGCCGGGAACUCAAAGGAGACUGCCAGUGAUAAACUGGAGGAAGGUGGGGAUGACGUCAAGUCA